rnacentral:rRNA from 1 species
GCGAGUGAAGCGGGAAAAGCUCAAAUUUAAAAUCUGGCGGUCUCCGGCCGUCCGAGAGGGAAUUUAGAGAAGCGUUAUCCGUGCUGGACCGUGUAUAAGUCUCCUGGAAUGGAGCGUCAUAGAGGGUGAGAAUCCCGUCUUUGACACGGACUACCAGUGCAUUGUGAUGCGCUCUCGACGAGUCGAGUUGUUUGGGAAUGCAGCUCAAAAUGGGUGGUAAAUGCCAUCUAAAGCUAAAUAUUGGCGAGAGACCGAUAGCGAACAAGUACCGUGAGGGAAAGAUGAAAAGAACUUUGGAAAGAGAGUUAAACAGUACGUGAAAUUGUCGAAAGGGAAACGGUUGCAGUCAGUCGCGUCCGCCGGGGAUCAACCUUGCUUUUGCUUGGCGUAUUUCCCGGUGGAUGGGUCAGCAUCAGUUUUGACCGCAGUUGAAAGGCUGGAGGAAUGUGGCACCUUCGGGUGUGUUAUAGCCUCCUGUCAUAUGCUGCGGUUGGGACUGAGGAACUCAGCACGCCGCAAGGCCGGGAUUCGUCCACGUUCGUGCUUAGGAUGCUGGCAUAAUGUCUGUAACCGACCCGUCUUGAA